GGAAGUUUGAGGAUUCUCUUGAAAGAUCAGAAGGCCUGGCAACACUGGACCCACAGGGCUGAUAAGAUGCCGUUUUCCCAGCUUCCUUGUGGCAUUCACUCAGGCCCAUGUCUGCAGGCACAUGUGCUCCCUUUUCCAGAAGCCCUGGGAUAAAAGAGAAGAAACAGA